AAGCAUAUUUCAUAAUGCACCAGGCCCCCCUCUCGAUAAAUAAUGACCAGUCCCUAAAGAAAUAUUGUGCCUUUUUGAUUUAAAGUGAAUCAUCUUUUAAAGUACUAGAUCUGAGGAGAAGAAGAAGAAGAAGAAGAAGAAGAAGAAGAAGAAGAUGAUGAUGAUGGAUAAGGAGGAGGAGGAGGAGGAUGAGAAGCAAGGACAAGAAAAACGAGAAUUUUACGGGCUAAAAAUAAAGGAGAACAGAAAAAUCAAGAAGAAGGUACCUUUCCUUACUUGACGUGACCGAAAACUAAAGCUACUUUUCCAAUGGGAUUUCUGAAAGAAGGACAAGCACAUUCUUUAUUUGUGAUUCUGUAAUAACCACAAGCUUCAGACUAACAAUGAAUUACAAGAUGGAGAAAAAGGUUUAGAGAAAUGGGAAAUGUUAGUUUUAUUCAUGAGAGAUUCAUUUACUAGAACCUAAAUAAUAUGCACAAGUGAAAAACCAUCAAGUCUGGACAAUAAAUUAUUUAGCUUUCUCUUUCUGGAACUGGUAGUGUAGUUUAGCUACAUCAAUCUGAUACACCUUGAUCCAGCCUGUCUCUUGCAUGUGGUAUACUGAAACAAGAAGUCAAACUAGGUAAGAAUGGUGUACCACUUAUGCACUUUCUUCAACAACAACAACAACAACAACAACAACAACAAAAAGGAUGUGAGACUUCUAUACUGAAAUGUGCAGCAUUCAUUAGCAAUUAUAUAUUUAGAGUUUUUCAAUAAGCUUUUUUGUGUUUCAUUAGCAGGUUGCAUUCUGGUCUAGCUUUGGUACGAAAAUCUCCAUGUUGUGGGAAAAGCUGGGUCAAGUUGGAAUUGCAGUCGGUGUGGUCUGUCUUAAGGGACACUUCAUAUUUCCAGGCAUCUAUUUUUACCCUAAAACAUUUCCACAUUGCACUACAAUGCCAACUUGAUUUUACCAAGUUCUUUCCGCAACCUCUGAAUGGCUAAUAAGGCAUGAUGAGCAAAAGAUGUUCUUCUUGAAGCAACACUAGAAUGCACCAUGUUCACUAUCCCAAAAAAGUCUAUAGGCUGAGUACGGUUUUCAAGCUGUCAUCCCACAAUAGACCUCCUCGGCUCUGGAGCGUUCAAGCGUAAUGUUGUUCCAUUUCAGACCACGUGUCAUUCCCUUGAGAAUAAUAUUCUUUGUUUGAGUUGUAUCCAUAUUCAUGUGUCUUCWAAUGUGCAACAGAGCGCAAACCUUAAACAAMGAAAUGAUACWCUAGGGAAUGACACGUGGUCUGAAAUGGGACAACAUUACGUCAGAGCUGAGGAGGUCUAUUAUCUUUGGAAGCCAAUAAUUCAAAGGUAAGACAAGGAUUUUACUUACGGUUCACAACACCUCCACUGUAGGCAUCUCUGUGAGUUGCAUGGUAGAUAGCCCUUAUGCCAAGGUCAUGUGCUUCCUCUGGAGUCAGAUCAUAUUUAUAUCCACUGUCUAGGACACCAUAGGCAUAGGUCGACCCAGAACCAACUGAAAACAUAUAAUUACUGAGUCUUGUGCCAUCACUGUCUACGUAGUACAGACCAGGACCCUGUAAAUUACAAUAACAGGAAAUCAGAAAAUCAUUUAAGAAUAUGAAUGAAUUAUCAAUUCAGUUCCAGAGGCUUUAUUCCUUUUGGUUUCUCUACCAAGAAAUGUUGGACUCUUGUCAAAAUCACCCAGACCCUUGAAGUUGAUUCUUUGCCAGAGAUAUAUAGGAAUAAGGGCUCUGAGAUGGAAAAUGACAUCAGUAGUUUUCUUCUAUUUCUACUGCAUUUGUAACCAAUUCUCAAGAAGAGCAAACUUACCUUUUUGUCCCAGCCACAGAUCAUAGUACCCUGAAGACAAACAAACACAAGUUUACUGAUUGCUAACUUGUGAAACAAGUGGUUUUGCAGGGCUAAAAAUAAUGCCCAGUCAUUAGAUGACAUGUCUGGAUAGUAUUAGAAUUUCUCAGGUCAAAUCUUUGCCUUGUUGGUCAUUUUUGACCAGUAACAAGGUAUGACUGAGCUAAAACUAAUUUGGCCAAUAAGGAUGACUGGCGACUGUCCAGUCCUUAUAUUUAUCACUGUAUUAGUAAUUGUAGCUAACACUAAUAAGUUUACUAUUGCUUUCAAUGUAUCAAAAUGACUAUAUGAAAAAUGCUUGGAGCUACUCAAGGAAAAGACCCUAGCAGCUAAAAUCCUGGGAGUGUGGAGAAGGGUCAGAAUUUUGACUUCAAAUCCUGCAAGUACUCUAACUUAAAUCUGCAUGACUAAAAAUAAUGGUUGUUCAAUUGUUGGACAUGAUGACUGGCCACAUUAGAGGGAUCAAUACAUGUAGCAGUCAAUAUCAAGAGGGAUGGUCUAAGAAGUGUUUGGCUGGACAAGUCCAAUAAUUAUGACUGGAGAUUGUUUGACAUUGUCUGUUGACCUGAUGCUGUCUGUUGACCGGGCACUGUCUGUUGACCUGGGCACUGUCUGAUGAAUGGCCAUUAUCUUGAGCCCAUCAUCAAAUCUUGUGUCUGAUUAAGUAAGCUUUUCAAUAAUGUCUUUAAUACGUUUGGGGAGGGGGGUCUAGCCUGAGCGACAUUUUAUGUUGUGGCAAAAGGAUUUCAAUAUUCUCGUCAGUUAGUUAACAGAGAUCUAGCAGGAGCAACAUUUUAAUGUUAUGGCAUAAUGUACCAGGAAAGUGCUAUAAGUCAGUGCCAUAUACCUUUCACUAAUAUAAGAAAGCUAGUCUAAUCUAUAUAAUGAUAAUUAGAUUUAGCAUCCAAGUCCAGUUAGUUUAUCUAAUAUCACAAUAAUAAUAAAUAAUAAUAAUAAAAAUAAUAAAGACUUU